rnacentral:rRNA from 1 species
CAGGCCUAACACAUGCAAGUCGAACGCAUCCUUCGGGGUAAGUGGCAGACGGGUGAGUAACACGUGGGAACGUGCCCUUCGGUUCGGAAUAACUCAGGGAAACUUGAGCUAAUACCGGAUACGCCCUUUUGGGGAAAGGUUUACUGCCGAAGGAUCGGCCCGCGUCUGAUUAGCUAGUUGGUGGGGUAACGGCCUACCAAGGCGACGAUCAGUAGCUGGUCUGAGAGGAUGAUCAGCCACACUGGGACUGAGACACGGCCCAGACUCCUACGGGAGGCAGCAGUGGGGAAUAUUGGACAAUGGGCGCAAGCCUGAUCCAGCCAUGCCGCGUGAGUGAUGAAGGCCUUAGGGUUGUAAAGCUCUUUUGUCCGGGACGAUAAUGACGGUACCGGAAGAAUAAGCCCCGGCUAACUUCGUGCCA